rnacentral:lncRNA from 1 species
AUCAGCCCCAAGAACUCCUGGAAGUCAGGACCUUUGCCUUCUUAAUUUUUGUAUCCUCCACAACAUUUGGCAUGGUUUGCAUCACAUGAGCACACUGGAAAGUAUAAGCAAGCACACAAGUGUUGGAUCUGUAUGUUUAGUUCGGAUUCAACCCCAUUGUUAUUUCCUGGAGUCCUUCCAAGAGAUCUUACAAGUUAUCAAUCUCGCCACGACAGAGUGCUUUCUGACCACUUCCCCUUUGCAAUUAAGGACUGUGACCACUCGCUUACGCACAGACUGAGAACAGCAGCCAUAACCCCAAAGGAGGUCAGAAGCUCCCAGCUCUCCCCACCAAGGGGGCUUAGCCGAGAACCUGAUACCUUGUGUUUUCCAGCUGUGGCUAAGGCUCUGACCAUAGGAACUGGGAACACCCACCAACACCCGUCUCCCCCAACCCCACUUCCUUGGCUUCAAAUGCCAUUAAACAUGUUUGCAGUGCGUUUGUGAA